UGCAGUCGACCGAUCCUUACGGGGAUAGCGGCGGACGGGUGAGUAACGCGUGGGAAUGUGCCCUUCUCUACGGAAUAGCCUCGGCAAAGUGGGACUAAUACCGUAUACGCCCCUUGGGCCAAAGAUUUAUCGGAGAAGGAUCAGCCCGCGUUGGAUUAGGUAGUUGGUGGGGUAAUGGCCUACCAAGCCUACGAUCCAUAGCUGGUUUCAGAGGAUGAUCAGCCUCACUGGGACUGAGACACGGCCCUGACUCGUACGGGAGGCAGCAGUGGGGAAUCUUAGACAAUGGGGGCAACCCUGAUCUAGCCAUGCCGCGUGAGUGAUGAAGGCGUUAGGGUUGUAAAGCUCUUUCAGCUGCGAAGAUAAUGACGGUACCAGCAGAAGAAGCCCCGGCUAACUCCGUGCCAGCAGCCCCGGUAAUACGGAGGGGCCUAGCGUUGUUCGGAAUUACUGGGCGUAAAGCGGUCGUU
rnacentral:rRNA from 1 species